UACGGAGGGUGCAAGCGUUAUCCGGAUUCACUGGGUUUAAAGGGUGCGUAGGUGGGCUAGUAAGUCCGUGGUGAAAUCUCCAAGCUUAACUUGGAAACUGCCGUGGAUACUAUUAGUCUUGAAUAUUGUGGAGGUAAGCGGAAUAUGUCAUGUAGCGGUGGAAUGCUUAGAUAUGACAUAGAACACCGAUAGCGAAGGCAGCUUGCUACACAAUCAUUGACACUGAGGCACGAAAGCGUGGGGAUCAAACAGG
rnacentral:rRNA from 1 species